CCUACGGGAGGCAGCAGUGAGGAAUAUUGGUCAAUGGACGAGAGUCUGAACCAGCCAAGUAGCGUGAAGGAUGACUGCCCUAUGGGUUGUAAACUUCUUUUAUAUGGGAAUAAAAUGUUCCACGUGUGGGAUUUUGUAUGUACCAUAUGAAUAAGGAUCGGCUAACUCCGUGCCAGCAGCCGCGGUAAUACGGGGGAUCCGAGCGUUAUCCGGAUUUAUUGGGUUUAAAGGGAGCGUAGGUGGAUUGUUAAGUCAGUUGUGAAAGUUUGCGGCUCAACCGUAAAAUUGCAGUUGAAACUGGCAGUCUUGAGUACAGGAGAGGUGGGCGGAAUGCGUGGUGUAGCGGUGAAAUGCUUAGAUAUCACGAAGAACUCCGAUUGCGAAGGCAGUUCACUGGACUGCAACUGACACUGAGGCUCGAAAGUGUGGGUAUCAAACAGGAUUAGAUACCCCAGUAGUC
rnacentral:rRNA from 1 species